rnacentral:rRNA from 1 species
CAGGUGCUGCAUGGCUGUCGUCAGCUCGUGUUGUGAAAUGUUGGGUUAAGUCCCGCAACGAGCGCAACCCUUAUCCUUUGUUGCCAGCGGUCCGGCCGGGAACUCAAAGGAGACUGCCAGUGAUAAACUGGAGGAAGGUGGGGAUGACGUCAAGUCAUCAUGGCCCUUACGACCAGGGCUACACACGUGCUACAAUGGCGCAUACAAAGAGAAGCGACCUCGCGAGAGCAAGCGGACCUCAUAAAGUGCGUCGUAGUCC